GCCUCAGUGGAUAAGGAUUCAAAGAAGGAGCAGUUUUAAGCUGCAUUUUUGCCAUGUUCUGUUGAGGAUCUCUAGAGGUUCUUCAAAAGCAUGCCUUCUACAUCUUAUGGACAUGGACUCACAUGGUCUUGUGAUGGUACAUCUGCAGCUGGUGAUUCCUCACAACAUGAAGAAGAAGGUUUUCUGGCAUCAGAUUCCUCACAACCUGACACCUGCAUGCUGAAGAAGAUGCCUGCAUGCUGAAGAACAAGAAAUGUGUCUGGCUUCAGAUAACUUGCUGCUGCUCUACUGCUGCCCUACUGCUGCCCUACUGCUGCCAGCGGACUCUCCUGCACCUGCUUUGUGGGACCUUGCUCUGUUAGACCCUGCUGCUUCUUCCACCACCUGCUCUGCGUUUCAUCGGCUUGCUGCUUGUGGCCAGUCACUCCGCUGCUGCUCCCUUCUGCUGCUGCUCGUCCCUGCAUUUUUGCCUCGGACCAAUGGAACGACUUGUGGACGCUGAUGCAUCCAGGUGGUGACUAUCCCCACUUUAUGCAAUUCUUGCUUUCUUCCUAC